AAGAAAGUGAACCAACAGAUAAUUAGCUUGCGGAAAUCAAACAGGAGGAGGCUUCUAAGAUCAAGGCUACUGGAAAGGCGUGGUACCAGACCAUGAUCUCUGACAGACUACACGGAGUUUGAUGUGUUCUCCAAGUGGCUCAGCGUUAGCCAGUGAUCUUCUGGCUGGAGUAGUAGCAAGUUUAUCAUCUUACCUUAAGAUCCAGAAAUCAUGAUUUAUGUUACAACUGUGAUAUGGUAUCUGUUAUCUGGAGUUUCAGACAUUCUAUGCUGUUUUGGUAGUUCUUUUCCGGGAGUGUUUUACCUAUGGACACAUCUGGAGACAUAGUAUAUGGUCA